rnacentral:rRNA from 1 species
GUCGAACGAGAUCUUCGGAUCUAGUGGCGCACGGGUGAGUAACGCGUGGGAACCUACCUUUCAGUGCGGGACAACGUUUGGAAACGAACGCUAAUACCGUAUACGCCCUCCGGGGGAAAGGUCAGCCGCUGAAAGAGGGGCCCGCGUCUGAUUAGCUUGCUGGUAAGGUAACGGCUUACCAAGGCUUCGAUCAGUAGCUGGUCUGAGAGGAUGAUCAGCCACACUGGGACUGAGACACGGCCCAGACUCCUACGGGAGGCAGCAGUGGGGAAUAUUGGACAAUGGAGGCAACUCUGAUCCAGCAAUGCCGCGUGUGUGAUGAAGGCCCUAGGGUUGUAAAGCACUUUCAACGGUGAAGAUGAUGACGGUAGCCGUAGAAGAAGCCCCGGCUAACUUCGUGCCAGCAGCCGCGGUAAUACGAAGGGGGCGAGCGUUAUUCGGAAUUAUUGGGCGUAAAGGGCUCGCAGGCUGCUUGAACAGUUAGACGUGAAAUCCCCGGGCUCAACCUGGGAACUGCGUUUAAUACUAGCAAGCUAGAGAAAUAGAGAGGAAAGUGGAACUCCCAGUGUAGAGGUGAAAUUCGUAGAUAUUGGGAAGAACACCCAGUGGCGAAAGCGACUUUC